GCCCUCGCCCGCCCCCCCUUCAGGUGUCCCCGGUGUCCCCCGGGGAGAAGCGCCAACCCUGCUGUGCCGGCGCGGUUGUUAAAGAAACUUACCGGUCCGCCCGUCCCCGAGACGCUCUGGGAGCCACGCUCCCGACGCCGGACACUGUCACCGCUGGGACCGAAGCCCCUUCACAGCGGCGGCUCCGGUGACCCGAGGAAUAACUGACCUAUCUAAGUAAGCAUUCUGACUGCUAGACCACAUUUCCUUUGGAGAAAGGAACAGAUUGGCUGCUGAGAGAAGAGAGAGUAUGCUCAAAGGGUCAGAAUGUGUUUCUGCACUACUCCAAGGAAAGCACAAGACUGCAGAAAUCCCUGUGAGCUGGACUGAGGCCCUGCAUAUCUACUGUAGCUCUGGAAACUUGAAUAAUUUACAAAGCACUUUGUCCUUCAGAUUCCUGCAAAGUUAAAUGCUUCCAACAGUACCCUGCUUUUGCCGUUUGCUAAGGAA